UGGGGAAUAUUGCACAAUGGAGGGAACUCUGAUGCAGCGACGCCGCGUGAACGAAGAAGGCUUUCGAGUCGUAAAGCUCUUUUAUAUGGGAAGAUAAUGACGGUACCAUAAGAAAAAGCCCCGGCUAACUACGUGCCAGCAGCCGCGGUAAUACGUAGGGGGCUAGCGUUGACCGGAAUCACUGGGCGUAAAGGGUUCGCAGGCGGAAAUGCAAGUCAGGUGUAAAAGGCAGUAGCUUAACUACUGUAAGCAUUUGAAACUGCAUAUCUUGAGAAGAGUAGAGGUAAGUGGAAUUUUUAGUGUAGCGGUGAAAUGCGUAGAUAUUAGAAAGAAUACCGGUGGCGAAGGCGACUUACUGGGCUCAUUCUGACGCUGAGGAACGAAAGCGUGGGUAGCAAACAGG
rnacentral:rRNA from 1 species